AUGAAAAAGAUCAGAGGUCUGAGAGAGCUUGCUCUGUUGGAGGAACUACAUGUCAUGUAUUAUUACUGGAGCAUGAAUUCCGUGGAAGAGCAUUGGGAAAGGUCUUGGAUAUCAGGAGAGAGCAUUUGGAUAUCUUUCUGGAAGAGAUGGGAUUUCUAUUUUGGGCGGUUGGCACAAAGAGACGUCAGCGGAUGUUGGCAGAAACCAUGUUUCUCUCCAGCUGCUCCAAUGGAAAUCAUCAUGUUACAAAGUCCUGCUGAACUUACAAGUUACAUACAGGAAGAAAUUUGGGAAGACUCUUUCUUUCCAUUUCCAAAGAUGAAUGUUAUUGUCCUCAUUAAGAUAGAAACACUUUUUGGAUCCUAGUCUUCUCCAGAACCUUUCUCCCAUUGGAACACAAGCCUUUUGAAGAGUUAAGCUGCAUCCAGUUCUUGUAGGUAUGUAUACAUUGGCCUUCUCUGACUCCCUGAUACAGGUUUUAAUUCUGGACGACUUCUCAAAACCUCUUUCCACUGGUAUCCUCAUGUGUCUGAGUGAUUAGGAACAUUGGCUCUAGAGGCAGAUCAUUUUGGACUUAAAUCUCAGGUCUUCCUUUAACUCAUUAUAUAGCCUUGUGGAGGUCACUAACCAUUCUUUGCUUCAGUCCUCUCAUCUGUUAAUUGGAAAAGAAAAUAUGUCAGUGACUACCGCACAGGGUUUUUGUGAAGAUGAAGUACGAAAAUGCAUGCAAACCACUUAAAACUGAUUAGAGUAUGACAAUUGCCAUGGAAAUGUAGAUGCCAUUUUUAUUUUUUAUGUAAGACAAAGAAGGAGGUUAAAAAUCAUAUAUUGUCAUCUAAAUAAAAUGCCAAAUGGUUUUAAAUACAAUAAAACUUUUAUUUUUAUUGAGAAAAUCUAAAAUUAAAAAUAUACAUAA
rnacentral:lncRNA from 1 species